CCAAGGCCCCCUCCCACUUCCCCGCGAUACAGCCCAGCCCCUUCCCGUUCUGGAGCCUGACUCCCCUGGCUGCUUCCCAUGCUCAGAUUGCAUUCUCUAAUCAUCACCUUCUCUCUUUCUUUAACGACGACGACGAUGUCGAUGAGCAGGUGGGCCGUGGGAGAAACACGAGUCUGAAAGACAACAGCGAGUUGUAUAUGAGUCGGAUUUCUUUCCUUGGAGGAGCUCCCUGCUGAAGACCCAAGCCUACCCUAGUUGCCAGAGAUACGGCCAACUCACCCUGGAAGGAUGGCCUGUUUUCGGACUGGGAACCCCAGCAAUGAAUCAUUAACUCCUUCAGUUUUUCCAAGCCGGGAGUCUCAGGGCUACCUGGAGGCAGCUCUGUCAGUGGAGGACGACUCUGCCUGUCACACACUGUUUCCCGGAUUAGUGAAGUCUUGUCUACCACUGGAGUUGGGGGAUAACAUAAGGAAUUCAUGAAAUGAGGGGACAGCCCAUUCUAUCGCGGACAGGAGCAGGGAGAGUCAUCCAAGUGAGAGGCCCAGUAAAACACCAUUCCCACCUCAUUCCUACUCCCCAACCUUCACUGACGAACACUUCAGAUGCCUUAUAAAAGAGACACACCAUUAAUUCCAAUACUCUGGAGGCAGAGUUAGACCAGCCUGGUCUACGGACAGGGCUACAUAGAGAAACCCUGUCUCAAAAAGAAAAAAAAAGGAGGAGGAGGAGGAGGAGGAAGAACCAUAUGCUAUCUUAUUUGACUGGUUUACUUCAUUUGGAUUCAGACACAACAUCUUCGAGAUGAUGGUGGAAGAAGGUAUCAGAUCCCGUGGAAUUGGAGUUAGAGGCUGCUGUGGGCCACCUGCCUCCAUCAUUGAGAACUAAACUUGGAACCUCUGGAAGAGCAACAAGUGCUCUUAACUACGGAGUCAUCUCCCCAGCCCUCUGUAUCCUUAUUUAAAACUUGACAUUCUAAUUUUUUCUGAGAUGGAUUUAUGAGGUGUGCACUGAAUUGCAGCCUCCUGUUCUCCCCUAGGGCCCUGCACCGAGAUGAAGCCAUUUCCCUCUCCUCUCUGCAACACUCUGACUCUGAAACGCUUUGCUGCCUAACUUUUCUGAAACUACUAGGCCGUGGAGUUUGCCUAUGGCACCAUCAUGUCAUUAGCGCCAAUGGUGACAAGAACUGGCCUUUCUCCUAGUUGGUAAUUCAUAAGGCAUUGUCAGCAAAUUGCCACAGACACACUGCAGAUGAAGAAAUUGGAAACUCCCCUGUUUUGUUUUGACCUGGAUGUAAACAAAGUUUUAAGGA